AAAAUAAAUCUCAAAGGGUAAGGAGUGCUGGUGUGGGGUAAUGAGAGAAGAUAUGACUAAAAGAUGAGAUCUGAGUGAUGACAUGGAACAGCUCAGAGUGUGUUCCAUUUGGAUUUCUGGAGGAAGUUUCCAGACCCAGGAAGCAGCAUGUGCAAAGGUCCUCAGAUAGGUACAUGCCUGGAGUGUUGGAGGCUGGCAGCAGGAGGUAAAGAGAGGGAAUGGUCUCCUGCAGAAUCUGAAUUCCCCGCAGAGUCUCCCAGUCUGGCCUCUGGGACAGCGACAGUGCUUAAUCGAGGAUGAUCCCUCAGGCUGUCGACACCUCCGGGGCUGUUCAGAUGGGGCGCUUUCCGUGAACAGGCACAAUCCACGAGACGGCACCAGGGGCAUUGCCGAUGGCCCCAGGCUUGGGUGCUUGUCCCCAUGUCUCUCAAGAAGGGACGAGAAAUCCGUCGCCACCUCAGGGAAGAGCCUGGGAGAUGGGUGAGUGACGGAGGGCCCUGGAAGCUGGGUCGCCCAUGUUUUCAUGGCUUGAUGUGGCUCAGGGGAGUGGUCCCCACCUGGGGUCUAGGAAGGAGGUUGAGGGGAAUUGUCAGGGACCCUUUUUAGAAUAUUUAAAAACCUAUCAAGGGGUUCCCACUGUGGCACAGCAGGAUUGGUGGCCUCUCUGGAGUGCUGGCAUGCAGGUUUGAUCCCUGGCCCUGCACAUUGGGUUAAGGAUCUGGUGUUGCCGCAGCUGCAGCAUAGGUCGCAACUGUGGCUCAGAUCUGAUCCCUGGCCUGUGAACUCCAUAUGCCAGGGGGUGGCCAAAAAAGAAAAAAAAAA
rnacentral:lncRNA from 1 species